AACAAAUUAAUUCAAGUUUCAUAUAGUUUAUAUUCAAUUAGCAAAAAUAUUUCGAUUAAUCAAAUUAAAUAUGUAAAGGGGAAUUUUAGGGUUCAUACGUGUGACUAUUCAACUUCUCCUCUCAGACUCAACUCUCUCUUGUUCACUCUCAAUCAAAACAGUCGCCGGAAAUCGCUUCCCGGCGGUGACCAUGGCGGAGGUGUCCCAAAAUACUAAAAACUAGCACAGUUUUGCUCAUAUCCUCCUUCCGAUUCCAAAUUUGCCAUUACUUUCUACGAUUUCCACUCAAUUCACUCCUAAAUCUGAACGAAAAUGUAAACCCUAGGUCUAAGAAGAAAUGCAAUUAAGCUUCCACGAUUAACAAUCAAGGAGCGAGAUCAUGGGAAAAUUAAUCAGAAGCCCUCAAUCUAACAUAUAACAUCAACUAAAGCGCAGAAGAAGAUGAGUGAUGGAAGGAGUGGUACUUACCUGUCGGAGAAGCUCCAACGGCUUGAACUUCGACGGCGGUGAGCAGGAAGCCGGAAACAAGACUCGACUCAACUCAGAUGUGAAGUAAACGUGGAGAGUGGCGAAUGAAGCUCCCGUUCAAUGAAGGCAAUGAGGAUGUGAUGAUGUUGAAUCGUUGCGGAGAGUUGAACUCUGAGAUUGAAGAUUGAUGAGAGGUUGCAGCGGUGGAGGAUGUGGUGAGGUUGUGGCUGAGCUCGAUUGAUAAGAGCUUCAUAUGUUGAAGCUCUAUCAAUGGUGGAUUUCUGAGCUUUUAGUGGAGGUAAGGGAGAGAGAUGAAUGUAGCAGAGAAAUGGUGUUGGUUGUGAUUGAGGAUGAAGGUCGAUGAAAAGUGAUGAAGAAAUGGUUGAAUUGAAGAGUGAAGAUGAUGAAUCCCGUGAAGAAUGAAGAUGAGAUUGAGUGUGAUGAAUGUUGAAUGGUUCAGCAGUGAAAAUGGUGGAGUGAUGGUGGAUUGAAGGUGGUUUGUGGAGCAGAGAAGAAGAAUGGUGGGGGGAGGAUUGAAGAUGAUGAAUGAAGUGGAAGAGAAAUGAUGGAUGAGUUGAAGAUGGUUCAGUAAUGAUUCUUAAUGGUUGAAAUGAAGAGAAAUGGGGAAUGAGUCGAGAGGUUCUGGAAGUGAAGGGAGAGUCAAAUGAUGAAGUGAAUUGUGGAGAGAGUGAAGAAUGGCUGAGGUUGAAGAAUAUAUAGCAGGCCUUGCUUCUGAACUAGUAUGGGUCUUUUUGUUAAUGAUGCAGGUUGGCCAAUUUGGAGCUUGUGACUUGCUAAACUGAAUCGUGAAUAAGAUGUGCAGUGUCAGUUUUGGAUUGUUGAAACCUUGUACCAGUCCACUUAGCACGACAUGAAGUUAUACAUGGAAUGAGGCGGUUCGGAGAAGAUACGAAGACGUGUCGUAGUGAAGAUGAAUGAUCAUGAAGAGGACAUUGAAGCAUAUAGCAAACAGUAGGUUUUUAGGGAGAAAAGUCUAGGAUUCAACUUUGGUAAAACAAUGUUGAUUUUGAUGAAACUUUGUAAUUUUUCUUUUGUAAUUUUCUUGAUGAUGAUGACUUGUAUCAUGAACACGGGUCAGAUUUGAAUGAGAUAAGAUUUCAUCCUCUUUGA